rnacentral:tRNA from 1 species
GGCCCUAUGGUGUAGUGGUUAACACUCUGGACUUUGAAUCCAGCGAUCCGAGUUCAAAUCUCAGUGGGACCU